rnacentral:lncRNA from 1 species
UGGGGAAUAAUGUGCAUGAACUCACCAAAGAUGGGAGUUCAUGUGAAGUGUAAGGCUGAUCAACAAAAUAAAGGUUGAAGCUGAGCAUUGCUUUUAUAAGUUUGUCAAAAUAUUAUUAGCAGUUACUAAGUGUAAGUAAAUACCAAACCAUAAUAAAUAAUAGAGCAAAAUUAAUAACAAAUCCCAUACAAUGCAUAUGACUAAUUGAAUUUAAGUUACAUAAAUUAAUCAUGUGAGAGUCCUGAGCUGCUCAUGACCGUGAGCUCGGCUAGUAUACUAGUUUUACACUCUGCAGAGGUUGUACCCUUUUCCCACAAGUCGUGUUCCCCAUGUCGCCAGGGUUUGCAAGGCCCUUAGACACUACCGAGGUGAAUGGCUAGGGAUCCACGACGAGGCAUUUACAAAGUUCCACUAGCUUCCGAAAACCCGUUAUAGUUUAUGGGAAGAGCACUUGCAAGAAUCCCUCGUCUGACCGUCACCGCAGCAAAAUUAACCCGAGAACCUCCUUGCAUGCAAGUCCCCUACUGCCCUUGCCCCUUUCGGGUAAGGAAGUAUUCCACUAGCUUUCCUAAUUAGUUAGCCAAGGGGUCCCAUUCCUCCCUUGCGGUGGCACGUGUUUCUCAAGUUAAGCUCCAUGUUCCAAUUAACAAUAAUGAUCUUGACAUGAACAUAAAUAAAAUAACAGAAUAAUUGGAACAUGGAUAUAAUAAAAUAUUAACCCAAAACCAUAUAAAGAAAUAGCAAAACUACCCAAGUAAUUCAGCGGUAAACAAUGUAAAAAGGAUAAACAGACUAGGGUGACCUAUUGGGUCCCAUCAAAUUUAAACCUAUGCAUGUAUAAGUGAUAUUAAAUAACAUUAUUGGGUAAUAAAAGUGGUCAAGGGCACAACUUGCCUGGCACUUUAGAAUUCUAGGUACCAGGGUGAUUCUUCAAAUCCUCGAAACCUCACUGCUAGUCGUAGCAACACAAACAAACUUGGUAUAGACAAAAUUAACAUCACACCAAACAUAAGUACAAACCGAAUAAUAAUAAUCUACACGUUGCUACGAGAUCGUGGGAUCGAGAACUGCUAAGAUCGGAGUCGUGGUCAAGGAGUUAUGAUUCUAUAGAGGAUCUAUGUGAUUAAAAUAUUAAACUAUAUUAUAAAUUGGUUAGUGUAAAUCAUAUGAGUGGUUAUUAUAUAAAUAAUUAUCUCAGCUUUAAUCUAAGUUAUAAAUUAACCAACAUGAGUUAAGUAAAGAUCUAAUCAUAAAAUAAUGAGAAAUGGUAUAAUAAAUGUUGUUAUUGCAUAGUAAAUAUUUAUACGAGACUAACGCAACUUGAACGGAUCAAAUUGGAGUUAAAAUGGAGGAGUUAUGAAUUUCCUAAGGUUUUAUGUACUUGAUUUAAGAUUAAUUAGGAAAUAAAUUUUAAAAUGGCUUUCAUGUCAAAUCAGUGGCACUAUUUGAUAAACAAUAAUAUUAUAAAAUUAUAGGAAUUGGAAUUAAUUAAUUUGGACUAAGUAUGCAUUUUCUAUGAAUUAAACAAAUUCUAGCCUUUAUUUUUGCAUUAAAAAUCAUUUUAUAAUCCCUUUUUCUAGAUUUUAAAAUUCUCUAGCUGGGCCUCAAUUACAGGAAAGUUCAGAGGUUAAUGCGCGAAAAGUUCCAAGACACAGAUCUACCCCGUGGUGGAUGGCGGGUUGAUUCCAUUAAAAUCCGAGGGCUCUUAAGUAAAACUCCCCGGCCGAAAGGGUACGCGACGAUAUCCACCGUCCGAUCAGAUUCUGACGCGCUUGAUUAGAUCGCGAUUCCCCCGAGCUGGCGCGCAAAGACGACCACAUGAUCGAGGAUCAACGGUCCAGAAUCGCUCACCUGCCUAAAACCGCUCUAGCCUUUGGAUCUCUGAUCUACGGCCACGGAUCAAAUCCCGCAAAAGGGUAUGCGCUUUCAAUCCUAGUCGUUUGCUCUAUAACCAAUGAUGCCGAUAUCAACCGCGCCAACCAGCACCUGGAUUAAAUCCCAAUCGUCAAAACCCGAUCAAACGGUUGGGCACUCUUCUCCCCAAUCGGACCCCGACGCGACGGCGCAAACCAGCCCGCGGCGGUGGCCAUUGUCGGCGAUCCCAUACCCCUCGACCCCAUCCACGCGAGCUCGAACCGACUAGCUCAUUCCAAUGUAUGGAUUAUGGCAGAGUCAGGGGCGGCGAAAAUUACUAGAGGAGUAGGUGAGCGCAGAGAUGUCCACGCGGACACGACGGAGGAGAAUCCCGGUGAGCAAUUCCACGUGGACGAGGCCGCUAUCCCGUUGGCCAACAUUAUGCGUAGCAACGCUACGCGAUGCUGAAGCCCUAGCACUGCCUUUACUCGCCCAUACAACAGUGCAACGUGGAGGUCGACGGCAGCGGCGUGAUGAAGUCCCACAGCGGCGGUGGGCCUCCAAAUUCCCUCUCUCCCGCUUUCUCCCCCCCCUCUGGCGAAUACGACGGGAUCUCUCGGCUGAGCGUGAGUGCCGAAACGGGUCACGGGGAAGUCCUAUUUAUAUCCAGGAGACCGGGUCUGGGACGAGCGGGAG